GACGAACGCUGGCGGCGUGCCUAAUACAUGCAAGUCGAACGCAGUGGGGACGGGUGAGUAACACGUGGGUAACCUCCCAUCAGAGGGGAUAACACUUGCAAACAGGUGCUAAACCGAUACUGAUUGAUGGACCCGCGGUUCAUUAGCUAGUUGGGGAGGUAACGGCUCACCAAGGCCACGGUGCAUAGCAGGCCUGAGCGGGUGAUGGGCCACACGGGGACUGAGAAGCGGGCCAGACGCCUACGGGAGGCAGCAGUAGGGAAUCUUCGGAAAUGGACGAAAGUCGGACCGAGCAACGCCGCGUGAGUGAAGAAGGUUUUCGGAUCGUAAAACUCUGUUGUUAGAGAAGCGGUAUCUAACAAGAAAGCCACGGCUAACUACGUGCCAGCAGCCGCGGUAAUAC
rnacentral:rRNA from 1 species